rnacentral:rRNA from 1 species
UACAGAGGUCUCAAGCGUUGUUCGGAAUCACUGGGCGUAAAGGGUGCGUAGGUGGGUCUGUAAGUCAGUGGUGAAAUCUCCGAGCUUAACUCGGAAACUGCCAUUGAUACUAUAGGUCUUGAAUUAUCUGGAGGUGAGCGGAAUAUGUCAUGUAGCGGUGAAAUGCUUAGAUAUGACAUAGAACACCAAUUGCGAAGGCAGCUCACUACGGAUAUAUUGACACUGAGGCACGAAAGCGUGGGGAUCAAACAGG